rnacentral:rRNA from 1 species
UGCGUAGGCGGCUUGGUAAGUCAGAUGUGAAAUCCUGGGGCUCAACCUCGGAACUGCAUUUGAUACUGCCAGGCUAGAGUACUGGAGAGGAGACUGGAAUUUACGGUGUAGCAGUGAAAUGCGUAGAUAUCGUAAGGAAGGCCAGUGGCGAAGGCGAGUCUCUGGACAGUAACUGACGCUGAGGCACGAAGGCUAGGGGAGCAAACGG